rnacentral:rRNA from 1 species
GAGUUUGAUCCUGGCUCAGAUUGAACGCUGGCGGCAGGCCUAACACAUGCAAGUCGAACGGUAACAGGAAGAAGCUUGCUUCUUUGCUGACGAGUGGCGGACGGGUGAGUAAUGUCUGGGAAACUGCCUGAUGGAGGGGGAUAACUACUGGAAACGGUAGCUAAUACCGCAUAACGUCGCAAGACCAAAGAGGGGGACCUUCGGGCCUCUUGCCAUCGGAUGUGCCCAGAUGGGAUUAGCUAGUAGGUGGGGUAACGGCUCACCUAGGCGACGAUCCCUAGCUGGUCUGAGAGGAUGACCAGCCACACUGGAACUGAGACACGGUCCAGACUCCUACGGGAGGCAGCAGUGGGGAAUAUUGCACAAUGGGCGCAAGCCUGAUGCAGCCAUGCCGCGUGUAUGAAGAAGGCCUUCGGGUUGUAAAGUACUUUCAGCGGGGAGGAAGGGAGUAAAGUUAAUACCUUUGCUCAUUGACGUUACCCGCAGAAGAAGCACCGGCUAACUCCGUGCCAGCAGCCGCGGUAAUACGGAGGGUGCAAGCGUUAAUCGGAAUUACUGGGCGUAAAGCGCACGCAGGCGGUUUGUUAAGUCAGAUGUGAAAUCCCCGGGCUCAACCUGGGAACUGCAUCUGAUACUGGCAAGCUUGAGUCUCGUAGAGGGGGGUAGAAUUCCAGGUGUAGCGGUGAAAUGCGUAGAGAUCUGGAGGAAUACCGGUGGCGAAGGCGGCCCCCUGGACGAAGACUGACGCUCA